AUAUAUAUUCAAAAUUUGAACUGGACAUGAACAUGCAUAUAACAAACAAAGAUGUCUUCUAUCAGGAACGAAAGUAAUAUGAAUAUUACAAUGGAUUUAGACAUGUCAGAUCCAAAAGUUCCAAUUGAUUCUAUUGACACUGGGUAGUGCAGAUGAUAGCCUUCAGUUGACAUGACUCUUGGAUUCAGAAAGAUUGGUGUUUACACAUAAUUUGGACAACAUCUUUUGUAUUUGAAAUCUUGAAGGACAGUGAGUACAGAGAAACAGAACUAAAAGCUACACAGAUGUAACACGACAACCUUCAGAGGACAGAGACAAUUUUCAA